rnacentral:rRNA from 1 species
GUGAACGCGUGGCGAGUGGGCGAGGGACGAAGGAGGCUGAAAGAGUUAAUCGGAAUCGCUCGGCGGAAAGCGAGAGCAGGCGGUCUGAUAAGUUGGAUGUGAAAGCCGAUGGCGUAACCGUAGAACUGCAUCCAAAACUGUCAGAAGAGAGUCUGGGAGGGGAAGAUGGAAUUAGUUGUGUAGGGGUAAAAUCCGUAGAGAUAACUAGGAAUACCAAAAGCGAAGGCGAUCUUCUGGAACAGUACUGACGCUGAGGCGCGAAAGCGUGGGGAGCAAACAGGAUUAGAUACCCGGGUAGUC